GGCCCAACCCGGUAAGGGAGGGAGCCGUCGAAGGUGGGAUCGGUGAUUGGGGUG
rnacentral:rRNA from 1 species